rnacentral:rRNA from 1 species
AUGCUUCGCUCUGGAGUGAUUAAGCCCAGCACCAGUCCUUUCGCUUCGCCUAUCAUCAUGGUGCGCAAGAAGGAGGGUUCCUGGCGCCUCUGUGUCGACUACAGGCAGUUGAAUUUGCUCACUAUGAAGACAAAGUAUCCCUUGCCUGUUAUUGACGAACUGCUUGAUGAACUCGUGGGUGCCUCUUGGUUUACCAAGCUGGACCUGCGCGUAGGGUAUCAUCAAAUUCGAUUAGCUCCUGGUGAGGAAUUCAAAUCGGCUUUCCAUACCCACAAUGGCCACUUUGAGUUUUCCGUCCUGGCAUUUGGUCUCACGGGUGGGCCUGCUACUUUCCAAUCUGCGAUGAAUGUUGACCUGUCACCUGUUAGUCGUCACUGUGCAGUGGUGUUCUUUGACGAUAUUUUGGUUUUCAGUAAAACCUUUGAGGAUCAUGUGCAGCAUCUCCGUCAAGUACUUCAGAUCUUGCAGGACAAACAGUGGAAAGUGAAAGCAUCUAAAUGCUCUUUUGCGCAGCGAUCUGUGGCCUAUCUAGGGUAUGUGGUCUCUGAAGAAGGUGGUGCUACUGACCCACAGAAAGUUUCAGAUGUUCAAACUUGGCCUGUUCCUACCACAGUCAAAGAUUUGCGAGGAUUUCUGGGAUUAUCUGGUCACUACCGCAAAUUUGUGCUUCAAUAUGGGGUCAUUGGUCAGCCACUUACUUGUUUGCUCCAGAAGCAAGUACCGUUUGUCUGGACAUCUGAAACCCAAAAGGCUUUUGAUACACUGAAACAAGCACUUGUCAGCGCCCCUGUGUUAGCUCUUCCUGAUUUCACUCUUCAGUUUGUGAUUGAGACAGAUGCAAGUGACUUAGGUGUGGCCGUGUGGGUGCAGUACUCAUGCAGAAAGGGCAUCUGUUGGCUUAUGUCAGUAAAGGCCUUGGGCCACGUACCAGAGGACUAUCCACUUACGAAAAAGAGUACACUGCAAUAUUAUUUGCAAUUGAGCAGUGGCGUGCAUACUUGCAACACGCUGAAUUCUUGA